UAGGAACAGCUGUUGCUGCCGUGUCUGGUGGGGGGCCUGAGAGUGGCAGGACAAGCAGCCUGCCCCAGAAGUGGAAGAAACUGAAAGUGGAGUCCUGAGAGCUGAAUCUGCCGCAGGCCCGCGGGCCGCCCGGGAAUUAGGAAAGUUAGAGGGGAUCCACGCCCACAACGUAGUUCCCGCUUAGCUAGGUUGACAUGGUACAAAGCCACAUUACCACGCUAAGUGUGGCUUUGAUUUUUAGAAACCGCCUCAUGCUAAGUCUAGGGAAUACAGUGGUUGAAUGGGGUGAGCGCUGACCUUUAGCUAUUCUGGAGGAACAUGUCACUUUCACUUAUUUUCUUUCAUGUUUUCCCACCCAGUGCUAUGGACUCUGAUCGCCCAACCAGAGCAAACCCAGAAGGACAACUCUCCAAGCCUUUCAAUCACUCCCACUAACCCGUAUUGUGGACACACUAUUGUGAGGCCUACUAAGGAUGUACUGCUGAUGACCUUUUGAAGAGUGGCUAGUGGUUGGCCCAUGUAGGCUGAGCUCAGCUGGUCCAUCCUUCUUGGACCCACAGACUCCCUGGGGCAUGUUCUUCUCAUGAUGAUGACUGCAACACAAGAGGGCAAGACAUCCUACACAAGCACAUUUCAAGAUUUUGCUCACAUCAUCUCUGCUAAAAUUCCUUUAUCCAAAGCAAGGAACACAACUGGUUCAAAUAAGCACAGGCCUCCAAAUAUCCAGAUCUAAAAAUGGAGUGUUCACCUCAAGCUCCUUAUUUAUCACUGCAAGAGAUUCUGGGGCUGGCAGCUAGUGACAUGAGCUGGAAUCCUCUUCCUGAAAUUGCUGUCUUCUUGGAUGGGCUCUCCACAUCUUCCACCACGAAGUAAAAACAAUUCUUGUGGGGGCCAGUGGACCUGCUCUGCAGACCCAGGCUCCUCUCCCAUGGAGCAUCCCAAGUCUGUCCUUAUGGGAAGAAGCAGGAGCCCUGUCUGGCUGUACCCCAAGCUGCUUUCUCUGGACCAAUGCUGUCAGCGAUAGAGCAAACAAGCCAAACAGCAGCUUGAAAAAUGCUUUCUACUUGGACAUACCCUCUUGCUACAGGGAACCCUUCCACCAUCAUGUGAAGAAGCCUGGUCUAGCCUGCUGGAGGAUGAGAGAUCACAUGGAAUGAGGCCACAAUCGUUCCAGCCAAAGCCCCAGUAAUAGAAUUAAGAUCAUCCAAGACCAUGGCAUCCCGCCUGAGAAGUUCAGAUGAGAAGGGCCACCUGAACAACCAACAGAAUCUUAAAAAGUAAAAAAUGAGUGUUGCCACUAUGCAUCUAUUAGAAUGGCAGAAAUCGAAGACACUGACAACAACAAAUGCUGGUGAGGAUGUGGAGCAACAGGAACUCUCACUCACUGAAGAUGGAAAUGCAAAAUAGUGCAGCUACUUUGGAAAACAGCUACUUUGGCUGUUUCUUACAACACUAAAUAUGCUAUUAUUAUAUGAUCCAGAAGUUUUGCUCCUUAGCACUUACCCAAAAAAGUUGAAAACUUAUGUACACACAAAAACCUGCACAUGGAUAUUCACAGCAGUUUUUGAUAUGGUUUGGCUCUGUGUCCCCACAGAAAUCUCAUCUUGUAUUUGUAUAAAUUUAUGGGGUACAAGAGUAAUUUUGUUAGCAUGCAUAGACAUGCAUAGACUGCAUAGCUCCCAUAAUUCCCACAUGUUGUGGGAGGGACCAGGUGGGAGGUGAUUGAAUCAUAGGGGCAGGUCUUUCCUGUCUUGUUCUUGUGAUAGUGAGUGGGUCUCACAAGAUCUGAUGGUUUUAAAUAACAGGAAUUUAUCUGCACAAGCUCUUUUAUUUUGCCUGCUGCCAUCCACAUAAGAUGUGACUUGCUCCUCCUUGCCUUCUGCCAUGAUUGUGAGGCCUCCCCAGCCAUGUGGAACUGUAAAUCCAAUUAAAUCUCUUUCUUUUGUAAAUUGCCCAGUCUUGGAUAUGUCUUUAUCAGCAGAGUAAAUGUGGACUAAUACAGUAAAUUGGUACCAGUAGAGUGGGAUGUUGCUGAAAAUAUCAUCAAAAAUGUGGAAGUAACUUUGGAACUGGGUAACAGGCAGAGGAUGGAACAGUUUGGAGGGCUCAGAAGAAGACAGAAAAAUGUGGGAAAGUUUGGAACUUCCUAGAGACCUGUUGAAUGGCUUUGACAAAAAUGCUGAUGGUGAUAUGAAUGAACAAUAAGGUGAAUGAACAAUAAGGACCAGGCUGAGGUGGUCUCAGAGGGAGAUGAGGAACUUGUUGGGAAAUGG
rnacentral:lncRNA from 1 species